GGGGCGGGCCCAAUAGAGGGGGAUAACCACUGGAAACGGUGGCUAAUACCGCAUAAUCUCUUAGGAGCAAAGCGGGGGAACUUCGGUCCUUGCGCUAUCGGAUGAACCCAUAUGGGAUUAGCUAGUAGGUGGGGUAAUGGCUCACCUAGGCGACGAUCCCUAGCUGGUCUGAGAGGAUGAUCAGCCACACUGGGACUGAGACACGGCCCAGACUCCUACGGGAGGCAGCAGUGGGGAAUAUUGCACAAUGGGCGCAAGCCUGAUGCAGCCAUGCCGCUGUAUGAAGAAGGCCCUAGGGUUGUAAAGUACUUUCAGUCGGGAGGAAGGCGUUGAUGCUAAUAUCAUCACGAUUGACGUUACCGACAGAAGAAGCACCGGCUAACUCCGUGCCAGCAGCCGCGGUAAUACGGAGGGUCAAGCGUUAAUCGGAAUUACUGGGCGUAAAGCGCACGCAGGCGGUUGAUUAAGUUAGAUGUGAAAUCCCCGGCUUAACCUGGGAAUGGCAUCUAAGACUGGUCAGCUAGAGUCUUGUAGAGGGGGGUAGAAUUCCAUGUUAGCGGUGAAAUGCGUAGAGAUGUGGAGGAAUACCGGUGGCGAAGGCGGCCCCCUGGACAAAGACUGAGCUCAGGUGCGAAAGCGUGGGGGAGCAAACAGGAUUAGAUACCCUGGUAGUCCACGCUGUAAACGAUGUCGAUUUGGAAGGUUGUUCCCUUGAGGAGUGGCUUUCGGAGCUAACGCGUUAAAUCGACCGCCUGGGGAGUACGGCCGCAAGGUUAAAACUCAAUGAAAUUGACGGGGGCCCGCACAGCGGUGGAGCAUGUGGUUUAUUCGAUGCAACGCGAAGAACCUACUACUCUGACAUCCAGAAGAUCAGUAGAGAUGCUUUAGUGCUUCGGACUCUUGAAAAGUGCUGCAUGCUGUCGUCAGUUGUUUGGAAUGGUAGGUAGUUCGCACGGCUACCCUAUCUUGUGCAGCGAUCAGUCGGCAUCCAUG
rnacentral:rRNA from 1 species